CCGUCCCGCGUCCGUCCUCCUCUCGGUCCCCGCCCCGCCUCGUCCCUCUCUGCUGCGCUCUCCGGUCGGCUCGUCUCCGCCUCGCCCCGUCUCCCUCUGUCUCCCUGUCCAGGCCGUCGUCUCCUCUCCCUGCCUCCGUCUCGUUCGGUGUCGGCUGGUCCAGGACUCCUCCGCCCAUGGUCACCCUCCGCAUUAAAGAUAAGGAGGAAGAGGUGAACGAUUAUUUACCAUCAGCUGGCCCCCCGGAGGUAUCUUUAACCCGGGCCCAGAAGGGAAACUAUCUGUGAAGAUCCAACCAAUCCUCACACCCCGACCCUGGUCGCUGGGUUUCCUGAUGGCCCAGAGAGAAGGCAGGAGCCUCACAAAGCCAGCAGGCAGGUUUGUGAAAGGCAGCUGAAUUUUCUACACAAGGUGUAAUGUGAACUCUGGCCUCGGAACUGGCCACUAUGUGUAGGGCAGGGGAAUGCUCCCCUAAUCAGAAGACCAUCUCAAACCUCGAAGAUGUGCUUUCCUCCCUGCAGGUAAAGAAAAGGUGGAUUCUAGGAGGCUCACAUCCUUUUUCCAGGGCACCCACUGCGGAUGGGCCCACGGACCUGCCUACCCUGCGGGAGAAGUGAGACAGGUUCAGUGCACAAGGACACCCCCAAGAGGGGGGGGGCUCUCACCCAUCUAGGGGUGUUUGUGGGUUGCCACCGUGACCGGAGAGGGGGAUGCGGUCCCAGAUGGCGACAUCCAGCGACUCAUGGGGUGGUCCCACACAAUACAGAAUUGUCCCACGUCCUGCCUCACUUCCGAACCUCCUGCUGGAGGGGCGCCUGGGUGGCUUGGUCGGUGAAGCGGCUGACUCUUGAUCUCAGCUCAGGUCAUGGUCUCACGUUUCGUGAGUUCGAGCCCGGGCAUCGGGCUCUGCACCGACAGCACAGAACCUUGCUUGGGAUUCUCUCUCCCCCCCUCUCUCUGCCCCUCCCCCACUGGUGCGCAUGAGCUCGCUCUCUCUCUCUCUCUCUCAGGUGAAAAAUCUUCUAAUCGUCGGAGUCUAGAACUCAACUCUGUUAUAUAUAUACAAAGUAUUUUCCUGUAUGGUUUAAUCUAUGCUGAAUACACUUAUUUUUAAUCUUGUAGCUACCCACUCCUCUGCUCAACUCCUUGCAUGCCUUGUUUCCUCAUCUUUUUCUUCCUCUUGAGCCCAAACUUGUUCAGGAUAAGUAGGUGCCGGCAGCUGGCUCCCACAUCACGACUUUUAAAGUGGCCAUGCCGAAGCGCUUACAUGUGGAAACGCGCAUUGUUCCAUUAGAGAUUCCUUUGGGCAACGGCACAGGCGAGUUUAGUGAUGGGAGGGAUGGCUCGCAUUUACUCUGUGCUAGGCCUGCUGUCCCGAGCGCUUCCACGUGUGGUUUAUUCGAUCCCCACACAGCCCUCUGACGUCAGUACUAUGACGACACCCGGGUGACCGGUGGGGAAACUGAGGCACAAAGCAGGCGAGGAACUCGCCCAAGGGACAGCUGGGAGGCAGCAGAAGUGGGGUUUGACUCGAGCGUGUCUGGCUCUGGGCUCCACGCACCCAACCGCAAGACUCGCGAAGACCUCUCUCUUAUUACGUAAGUAUUUCACAUCAGCAGAGUAAAGGGAUAUUCCGGUCCCUCCUCCGGCUGGCUCACGGUGUCUAAAAUCCUUGUCCUAGUUCUGCUCUAGAUCCUCAUCAGAGACCACUUUGAAAACCCGAGUCAGGACGCCAUCCUCUUGACUCGUGCUUGAGAACUGUGUGAUGGCUCCUUCUAUACUUUUCACCCUGGCAGCCAGGAAACUCACCAUCACAGCCGCGAGUCGACUGCAGCCAACUGUCUCUCUCCCUCUCUCAUCCCUGUCUUCUGGUGCUACUAUCUCUCCCUCAGCUCUCUGCGGUUGCUGGCCCCUCGGUUCUGUUUCUGUAACACCUGCAAGGAAUUUUUAUGCUUCUAACACUCAGCUCCUUCCUGGACAUGCCCCUGUAAUUGGCAAAACCUGACAGAUCUGCAUGACUAGACUGUGCACAUGUGUGAGGGAAUUCUGGGUAGCCUCAAAUAAAUUAUGCAUGUGUGUGAACGAA